rnacentral:rRNA from 1 species
GUGGGGGGAUAGUGGCGAACGGGUGAGUAACACGUGAGUAACCUGCCCUUGACUCUGGGAUAAGCCUGGGAAACCGGGUCUAAUACUGGAUACGACCUUCUGGCGCAUGCCAUGUUGGUGGAAAGCUUUUGUGGUUUUGGAUGGACUCGCGGCCUAUCAGCUUGUUGGUGGGGUAAUGGCCUACCAAGGCGACGACGGGUAGCCGGCCUGAGAGGGUGACCGGCCACACUGGGACUGAGACACGGCCCAGACUCCUACGGGAGGCAGCAGUGGGGAAUAUUGCACAAUGGGCGCAAGCCUGAUGCAGCGACGCCGCGUGAGGGAUGAAGGCCUUCGGGUUGUAAACCUCUUUCAGUAGGGAAGAAGCUGGCCUUUGGGUUGGUGACGGUACCUGCAGAAGAAGCGCCGGCUAACUACGUGCCAGCAGCCGCGGUAAUACGUAGGGCGCAAGCGUUAUCCGGAAUUAUUGGGCGUAAAGAGCUCGUAGGCGGUUUGUCGCGUCUGCCGUGAAAGUCCGGGGCUUAACUCCGGAUCUGCGGUGGGUACGGGCAGACUAGAGUGCAGUAGGGGAGACUGGAAUUCCUGGUGUAGCGGUGAAAUGCGCAGAUAUCAGGAGGAACACCGAUGGCGAAGGCAGGUCUCUGGGCUGUAACUGACGCUGAGGAGCGAAAGCAUGGGGAGCGAACAGGAUUAGAUACCCUGGUAGUCCAUGCCGUAAACGUUGGGCACUAGGUGUGGGGGACAUUCNACGUUUUCCGCGCCGUAGCUAACGCAUUAAGUGCCCCNCCUGGGGAGUACGGCCGCAAGGCUAAAAACUCAAAAGNAAUUGACGGGGGCCCGCACAAGCGGCGGANCAUGCNGAUUAAUUUCAUNCACCGCGAAAANCNUNACNAAGGCUUGGACAUGNAACCGGAAUGAUNNCAAAAANUUUNUCANCCNCUUUUUGGCCCGGUUUANAAGGUGGNNGCAUGGNUUUUCNUCAACCNCCUUUUUCNUGNN